AGAGUUUGAUCCUGGCUCAGGAUGAACGCUAGCGACAGGCUUAACACAUGCAAGUCGAGGGGCAGCGGGGGUAGCAAUACCCGCCGGCGACCGGCGCACGGGUGAGUAACGCGUAUGCAACUUGCCUAUCAGAGGGGGAUAACCCGGCGAAAGUCGGACUAAUACCGCAUGAAGCAGGGGUCCCGCAUGGGGAUAUUUGCUAAAGAUUCAUCGCUGAUAGAUAGGCAUGCGUUCCAUUAGGCAGUUGGCGGGGUAACGGCCCACCAAACCGACGAUGGAUAGGGGUUCUGAGAGGAAGGUCCCCCACAUUGGUACUGAGACACGGACCAAACUCCUACGGGAGGCAGCAGUGAGGAAUAUUGGUCAAUGGGCGUAAGCCUGAACCAGCCAAGUCGCGUGAGGGAUGAAGGUUCUAUGGAUCGUAAACCUCUUUUAUAAGGGAAUAAAGUGCGGGACGUGUCCCGUUUUGUAUGUACCUUAUGAAUAAGGAUCGGCUAACUCCGUGCCAGCAGCCGCGGUAAUACGGAGGAUCCGAGCGUUAUCCGGAUUUAUUGGGUUUAAAGGGUGCGUAGGCGGCCUUUUAAGUCAGCGGUGAAAGUCUGUGGCUCAACCAUAGAAUUGCCGUUGAAACUGGGGGGCUUGAGUAUGUUUGAGGCAGGCGGAAUGCGUGGUGUAGCGGUGAAAUGCUUAGAUAUCACGCAGAACCCCGAUUGCGAAGGCAGCCUGCCAAGCCAUGACUGACGCUGAUGCACGAAAGCGUGGGGAUCAAACAGGAUUAGAUACCCUGGUAGUCCACGCAGUAAACGAUGAUCACUAGCUGUUUGCGAUACACUGUAAGCGGCACAGCGAAAGCGUUAAGUGAUCCACCUGGGGAGUACGCCGGCAACGGUGAAACUCAAAGGAAUUGACGGGGGCCCGCACAAGCGGAGGAACAUGUGGUUUAAUUCGAUGAUACGCGAGGAACCUUACCCGGGUUUGAACGCAUUCGGACCGAGGUGGAAACACCUUUUCUAGCAAUAGCCGUUUGCGAGGUG
rnacentral:rRNA from 1 species